GAGCGGGUCGCCGCGUGCCGGC
rnacentral:siRNA from 1 species